rnacentral:lncRNA from 1 species
CACAGGCACACGAUCUUCACUUGUCCUUCUUCUCCCUGGCGAUGAGGUCCAUCACAGCUCGCUUGAUGCUUCCCCCGUUCUUUGCGAGCAGCUCCUUGUUCAUCUCAGUAUCAUCGAAACCCUGAAAAGAGCCAAGUUUAGAAGCACAUAGCAGAAGUUAUAUGGGAACCAUACAGAAUAACAGAGGCAUGUAUCUUACCAUCUCCUCCAGCUCUGCAAGGAGGGGAUCCCAUUCGUUGACGCCACACAGAUCAUCCACAGACAGCUCCAGGUUGUAAUUGUUCUGCCUAAGGAUUUCCUUGUUCAGAUCAAUCUGCCUAAAGCCCAUUUCCUCCAGCUCCCUCAGCAGCUUCUCUUCAUUGUGACCAUCUAUGUCAAAAGGCUCAGGUGCUGCGGCGCUGGCUGCAGGUGGAGGCACAGGCACAGAAGCAGGGGCAGAUGCAGGUGCGGAUGCAGGGGCAGGCAUAGAAACAGGCACAGUUGUAGGCAGGAUAGGCACAUUAACAGGUGAAGGUCCAACCGGGGCAAGCAGCUCAGGUGCAGGUGCAGGUGCAGGUGCAGGCACACUAACAGAAGGCACAAAAGCAGCAGCAGUGGCACUGGACAUGGGAACAUCAACGACAAGGUUUGCAGGAGCUGCUGCAGGCAUAGAGGUAGCAACUACUAGAGCAGGCUGAGAUUUCUUGGGCUCUGGAACAUCACUCGGAUAGAAGUGGAACUCUUUAGU